rnacentral:tRNA from 1 species
GCCCGCAUAGUGUAUUGGCAGCACGCCAGGCUCAUAACCUGGAGGAGGAGUGUUCGAAUCCCCUGCGGAGCA